GCGGGCGUAGCUCAAUGGCUAGAGCGUCAGCCUUCCAAGCUGAAUGUUGUGAGUUCGACUCUCAUCGCCCGCU
rnacentral:tRNA from 1 species